rnacentral:rRNA from 1 species
GACGAACGCUGGCGGCGUGCUUAACACAUGCCAGUCGAACGGAAAGGCCCUGCUUUUGUGGGGCGCUCGAGUGGCGAACGGGUGAGUAACACGUGAGUAACCUGCCCUUGACUUUGGGAUAACUUCAGGAAACUGGGGCUAAUACCGGAUAGGAGCUCCUGCUGCAUGGUGGGGGUUGGAAAGUUUCGGCGGUUGGGGAUGGACUCGCGGCUUAUCAGCUUGUUGGUGGGGUAGUGGCUUACCAAGGCUUUGACGGGUAGCCGGCCUGAGAGGGUGACCGGCCAAAUUGGGAAUGAGAUACGGCCCAGACUCCUACGGGAGGCAGCAGUGGGGAAUAUUGCACAAUGGGCGGAAGCCUGAUGCAGCAACGCCGCGUGCGGGAUGACGGCCUUCGGGUUGUAAACCGCUUUCGCCUGUGACGAAGCGUGAGUGACGGUAAUGGGUAAAGAAGCACCGGCUAACUACGUG